rnacentral:misc_RNA from 1 species
AAAGAAUGAUCCAUGGAUUUUUCUAUGCAACUGUGAAACACAGAUACAAAAGGAAAUUAAAGAAGCUUGUUAAUAAUAAUAAUAUAACCAUAACAUGAAGCUUGUGAGUGAGAGAGAAAGCAAAUGAGCUUCGAAUGCUAGCCAGCUAAAUUGUAGCUUUUCUUUACGUAUACAAGCUGUACACAAGCUCCUCUCCUAAAUAAACACUAGCUAAUUAAAAGUGCCCUAACUGAAAAACCAAGGAAACAAAGAAAACUAUAAAGUUAUGAGAGAGAAUUUAGAAAGGGAAAAGGAAGCAAAUCGCGAAGAGGCAGAAAAGCCUGCGAAACUUGAUCAGCAAUCAAUCAGUUACUUAGCCCUUUCAACAUGGCGUAUAUAAACAGUUUCCAAGUCAGGAGGAGUAAAGAACUCUCUAACACCACUGUAACUGCAUUUCAAAGUAGCCUUUCUCUUCUUGGGAGCGGGCGGGCAUGUCAGUCUCGUCGGAAUUCUAGCAUCUUCACUUGUCGGUGUGGUGGUCGUCGUCGAACACUCAUCAGUUUCGCUUUCUUUCUCUACAGGAUUUGUAAAAAUUGGCUUUAAAGGAGCUCUUAAAGGAAUUCCUGCAAUAACCCAUUUUUUAGAAUCCAAUUCCAACCCAGAAUCAACUUGAGGCUUCUCUGAGAACCCCAUGCUUUGGAUUGAAGAAACAAAGAAAACCCUUCAAGUAAUAUAGGAACAGGAAGCUAGCUAUCUAGCCAGCUAGAGAAUAGGGAAUAAAGCAUACAGAGAAUAAAGAAAAGGGGUAUAGUGAUCGUGUGGGGAUUGGCUGAGAAUCAAAUGAAACCAGGAGGAAAGUGAAGGAAAGAAAGAAAGGAAAAGAAAAUGGAAAGGAAAGGUUAUUUCCGAGAGAGAAAAGAGUUCUAAAGAAGCUAGAAGUCUGGAGGAGAGGGGACAUCUAUGUCAGUACUGAAUCAGAGAGAAAGUUUUAAUGGAAUUGAGAGAAAAACUUUUUAAAAAAGAAAAGAAAGAAAGAAGCUUUAAAUGAAGGGAAGAGCAACGGUGAAUGUAGAAGUCUG